UACAGAGGUCUCAAGCGUUGUUCGGAUUCAUUGGGCGUAAAGGGUGCGUAGGUGGCGCUGUAAGUCAGGUGUGAAAUUUCGGAGCUUAACUCCGAAACUGCAUUUGAUACUGCGGUGCUCGAGGACUGGAGAGGAGACUGGAAUUUACGGUGUAGCAGUGAAAUGCGUAGAGAUCGUAAGGAAGACCAGUGGCGAAGGCGGGUCUCUGGACAGUUCCUGACGCUGAGGCACGAAGGUCAGGGGAGCAAACGGG
rnacentral:rRNA from 1 species